AUGGGAGCCGUUUUUGCUUUAUUUGCUGGAUUUUACUAUUGGGUGGGUAUAAUCUUUGGUCGGACAUAUCCUGAAACUUUAGGCCAAAUGCAUUUUUGGAUCACUUUUUUCAGGGUUAAUCUGACCUUCUUUCCCAUGCAUUUCUUAGGGCUUUUGGGUAUGCCACGUCGCAUUCUGGAUUAUCCAGAUGCUUACGCCGGAUGGAAUGCUCUGAGCAGUUUCGGUUCUUAUAUAUCCGUAGUUGGGAUUCGUCAUUUCUUCAUAGUUGUCGCAAUCACUUCAAACAGUGGAAAGAACCAAAAAUGUGUGGAAAGUCCUUGGGCUGUUGAACAGAAUCCAACCACACUAGAAUGGUUGGUACAAAGCCCUCCGGCCUUUCAUACUUUUGGAGAACUUCCUGCGGUAAAAGAGACAAAAAGCUAA
rnacentral:rRNA from 1 species